AUCCAGCUGACGAGUCCUAAAUAGGACGAAACGCGCGUCCUGGAU
rfam:Schistosoma mattheei strain Denwood, Zambia genome assembly, scaffold: SMTD_contig0001860